CCAGCAGCGCGGGCAGCUACUGAGGCUUAAGGUUUUUCUUAAGCCUUGGAGGAAAGUCCGGACUCCAUGAAGCACGGUGCCGGCCGAAAGGCCGGGAUUCCCGGAACAAUGCCGGGAAGACGGAAAGUGCCACAGAAAAUAGGUAGCCUCGAACCAUUGGGCGGUGAAAGCCGCAUCAGGUUCGGGGUGAUAGUGAAAAGGCGGGGUAAGAGCCCGCCGCGUGUCCCCGUAAGGGGCACGGCACGGCAAACCCCUCCGGGAGCAAGGCCAAAUAGCGGGCAAGCCCCCGAACAGCUUUAAACAGCUGCUUCGGGGCAGGAGAGCUUCACUCCUUACAGCCCGGGGUAGGCCGCUUAGAUUGAUGGCUGCACCCCCGUUUAAAGCGGGGUGACAGAAUCCGGCUUAUGCGCUGCGGGUUCC
rnacentral:RNase_P_RNA from 1 species